rnacentral:rRNA from 1 species
GAUGAACGCUGGCGGCGUGCCUAAUACAUGCAAGUCGAGCGAACAGACGAGGAGCUUGCUCCUCUGACGUUAGCGGCGGACGGGUGAGUAACACGUGGAUAACCUACCUAUAAGACUGGGAUAACUUCGGGAAACCGGAGCUAAUACCGGAUAACAUGUUGAACCGCAUGGUUUAACAGUGAAAGACGGUCUUGCUGUCACUUAUAGAUGGAUCCGCGCCGCAUUAGCUAGUUGGUAAGGUAACGGCUUACCAAGGCAACGAUGCGUAGCCGACCUGAGAGGGUGAUCGGCGACACUGGAACUGAGACACGGUCCAGACUCCUACGGGAGGCAGCAGUAGGGAAUCUUCCGCAAUGGGCGAAAGCCUGACGGAGCAACGCCGCGUGAGUGAAGAAGGUCUUCGGAUCGUAAAACUCUGUUAUUAGGGAAGAACAAAUGUGUAAGUAACUAUGCACGUCUUGACGGUACCUAAUCAGAAAGCCACGGCUAACUACGUG